UACGUAGGGGGCUAGCGUUGUCCGGAAUCAUUGGGCGUAAAGCGCGUGUAGGCGGUCCGGUAAGUCCGCUGUGAAAGUCGGGGGCUCAACCCUCGAAUGCCGAUGGAUACUGCCGGGCUAGAGUCCGGAAGAGGCGAGUGGAAUUCCUGGUGUAGCGGUGGAAUGCGCAGAUAUCAGGAGGAACACCAGCGGCGAAGGCGGCGCUCUGGGCCGGUACUGACGCUGAGGAGCGAAAGCGUGGGUAGCAAACAGG
rnacentral:rRNA from 1 species